AACAAUUAGCAAUAAUUGUCACUUGACUUUAAUGACUACUGUGAGCGGGUCAUGUGCCAAACACUAAAAAAGGUUGCUUCCUGCUUCAAUCCAAUUCUCAACAACAUCAUCAUCAUUUUUACUUUAAGCCUUUGAGGUAAGACAGAAUCACUCUCUGUAGAAUUGUGGGGGGGGGGGGGGGGUAAAACUUAAUAGCAGGUGGAAAUCCAGUACAAACAAACAGCGGGGAUUCUGGUUAUGAAAAGGAGCAAAAUCACUUGGGUUUCUGCGAAUUUUAACGCAUGAGGAUUCUUUCAAUCAUUCUUCUUGCAGAUAGGAGGAGUACUGUACUGCUGCUACUGUUAAUUAUGCAUGAUGAUGAAUAAUGAUGGGAUGUUUACCGCUUACCAAGCCACAGCAAUAAUAAUGGAUGGUGGCCUGGUGAUUAUCCUUUAUAUAUACUUGCUGUUACUGUGGCUGUCAACAUAAUCUUACCGACCUACCUCCCCAAUUUGUGGCUUCUGAUCUCCAGUCUCCCUCCUCCUUCAAGGUUCAACAAGCAAUAUCAGAAAAAGCAAAAGCCAAAUAUACAUAUCAUUAUGCCCUUUAAAAAUGGUUUUGUGUAAUGAAUGCCGAUUAUCAAUUGAACCAGCAUAAAGGUUAAAAAGCACCACCAUUUUCCAUUUUCCUCGGCAAGGCAUAGGAAAAAUGCUGCUCCGGCUCCGGCUCCGCUCUAUUUUCCUAAAGAAAAACACAUGGACCAGACCUAGCCACAUAUAGAAGAGAAAUCAUAUUCACAAGGCGUUUCCACAAAUUUACAACUGCGUUAUCUUCAUUCCCCCGGUGUCGCAAAUAACAGCAGUGGCUAAUGGGAUAUUCUGAUUCUUCAAAUGCAAGGCUAAAAAUCGUGCCAAACUAUUUAUAGCAUUGCAGCCGUUCAAGAAGUUGGAGACGUGGGAAUAUUGUAGGCUAAAGGUCGUGCCAAACUAAAACACAUUGCCACCUGUUCAAGAAGUUUCUUUGUUCGAGAACUUCCUUGAUUCCACUUUCUGCGAAAAUGGGCAUCAAGAUGAUGCAAGAAAACAACACAACAUUUUAUUCUUUCACCGUACUCUUAACGUUUAUUAUUCCAAAAAAAUGGGAGGAGGAAAAGAUCUAACAGUAACAGGGUUUGGAUCAUGUGCUUUCACAUGUUCCCUACUACAAUUCCUUGCAAAAAAGUAGCACUGAUACUCAUUAUACCUUGAGGUUUUCAGUCCAUUAACGUAAAAUAAGGAGGAGCCACUGCCCCAUCUUAAUGAGCUUUAACUAAAGCUGCAAUUUGUUAGCCUUAGAAAGGAAGAGAAAAUUAAAACCUAGUACUGCGUUCUCUGUGUGUGUGUGUGUGCCUGUUUUUUAUUCCAGCCUAAUUUGAGUACAGUUUCUUUUUUUUGUUUUUGGCUCCUGGACUCCUGUCCCUAGGUUUGUCUUCAAUUACGAGGCAUUGCUUCACAGUUUACACUAGCGGCUGAGGUCUAAACGCAUAUCACAAUUGCGGUAUUUGGGUCAAGCAGACAAGAACCAGGAUUUUUCCUGUCGAACCAAUGGACCUCCGAAUUCUACCAGAAAAUCAGACAUUGGGAUCACGAAAAAUUGCACUCAUGUGUGCCUGUAAAUUCAUUUGUUGCAGGAUUUUCUACUCCACACAGAUCUCAUCCGAGCAAUAGGAGCAAGCUCAUUAUGAGGCCGCCCAUAAUUCACAAGCCCAUUUCUCUUCAGUCUGUCCACACUCCACAGGAUUCCUUUAUCGAUUUCUUUCAGAUAGUAGUGUUUGUUUGCCAGAAAAAUUAAAGAAUUAGCAAAUUUAUGAGGCCCACCAUCUAAAAUUUUCUUGUCAUCGUUCAUUUUUCUAUAAAACUUUUCCUGCAGAAAUCGAUAGGAAAAUUAGUCACACAAAGUUUCAACUAAUUAGAUUUCUUUUACAAAUCCAUUUGUUUUUCUAAACUAUUUCCUCCAUUCUAAACUUCUAUAUAAAUUAGAAUAUAUUAGAAUUUACAAUUCAAGAAAUCCACUCGACAUUUUAUUCUUAUUUUAAUAAUUAAUGAAUUAGUAAUUUGUUGAAUUUUAUGCUGCUUUUUAUGUCUAUAUACUUGUGGUGGAAAAAUUAAUUUUUUUUUUUCCUUUACCUUGCUUUAUUUCACUUUUCUCAUGACGCACUUUCUUACACAACUUUUCCAUCAAACAAACAUAGCCUCAUUUUUUUUUCUCUCCUGCGUGUAAAGAAUAGAUUUGCACGGUUAUUUCCUUCAUGUUUGCUUGUUUCCUUUUCCCUUUCCGUUUGGUUUGUGUGACAAGUCAGAAGAACAGCUAAAAUGUGUGAUCGUGAAAAUUGGGAAACAGAAAUCCUUGAUGAUAGUAGAAAUGUUGGCUCACGUUAAUUCCAGUAGUUGUUUCGUGGCACAAGUUGUUGGGCCUUCUCAAGUCAUCGCCUCAUCAUCCAUCACACUUGGACAUCUCAUCGAAAAUGGCCUUUCUGCUCCAACCGAAGGCAAGAGCAAUUUGGUCACAAACCAUAACGUCUCCUACUCCAUUUCCCUAUCCAUCCUUUUAAAGAGACAAAAACUUGGAUAGAUUCGAUCUUGCAGAUUUAGCAAUUUAAAUUUUGCCGCACAUAUAAUACUUGAAUUGCUGAGAUAAUGUGACAAAUUUUAAAUCGCUAAAUCUACAUAGAUCAGGUUUAGAUUUAUCCAAAUGUUUGCCCUUCAAAGAAGGCAAUGCAAUGAGUUUGCACGAUUCUUUUAGCCUAUAACCCUAUUAUGACUUAUUCUGUAGUUAUUUUAGAAAAUUGUUGGCAUUUAUUCAAAAUGCCCCUCCCUGCUCCUCUCACCGGUAACCUCCGUCACCUAUCGCCGCCAUCCCCCUCCCUCCCAAUAUUGGUAUACUAUUUAAUAUUUUUUUGUGUUUUAUUAAAAAAAAAAACUUGUGAGUAUUGCACAGUAAAUGGUGUUUGAAACAAAUUGGUGUUAUCCAAAUAGACCCUUUAAUAGUUCCUUCAAUGAGUUAUCUUAGACUUUGAUAUAUGCCCUUAUUUAAUCUAAAUUAAGGCCCCAAGUAAGUACCGCGUAAACCUCAACAUAUGAAAACUGAUCAUAGAAUUUUGUGGCGUACUAGGUAGUUAGCGAACGGGACAAUUAUUCUUGGGGUGAUUUUCUCUUGUUUGAAUUGACAGCGCCGACUUCUCCGAGAGAAAUCCUACGUAUAGGAGACAACUGAGUAUUUUUGAAUGAGUAGUAGAAGAAGUACAAGGAACGAAGGACAUAAAGAGAGGUGGAGACUCGUGAAGCCUUUUUUUUUUUUUUUUCAUAAAACCAAUUUAUUUCGCUCGAGAAAUCUCAAAGAACAGAAUAAUAAUGCCAAUUUGUCCAAAAUUAUUUCAUUUUUCCAACCAGAUGUAUCUAACCUGACUGAGUACGAGUUCCAAUUACAUCAAAUUAAGCUAAAUUAUCGCAUCCCUACAACUCUUUUGGCUGCUUUUGAAACCGCCUGAUGACAUAAAAGAGACAAUAAUAAUGUUGAAGAUACACACAUACUACUAUACAAAAUGUGGACGGCAAACACUCCCAUAAAACGGAUCGAUAUCAACCAAAAACGGAUACAGCUUUUUAACAUGAAACUUGUACGUUUUUUCAAGGAUGAGAUGGGAAGAUUUCCUGAAAACUUGUAACGGCAAUUACCACCUGAGUUUUGAUAUUCUUAUAUUACAUGAUGACAUCUUCAACUGACUAAAUUGUUGCUACUACUAUUAAGUAUUAUCCACUCCGUCAACCUACCUCUCAAGGCCUGUCCAUGAACAAAGUUGGCACCAACAACCAUACUCCCGUCGUUGCUUUUCCACUAUUUUAUCAGUCUCUGAGGCUGGCUGGGAGUGGGGAGAUUUCACCAGCUGCUUGCCCAUAAUUCAAUACCAACUGGUCAACAUCACAAGUAUGGUAUACUGAGCUGUUUAUUAUUGUUUCAUAUAGACCAUUCGAUCUCUUCUUAUCUUAAUCUGAAAGCAAUUCAAUUGGGCAUCCAAGGGGCCAUCUGUCCAUACAUUUUGCGGUUACAUGCGUGUCUACUCUUCAUAGCAGCAAUAACAAUACUUGACUCCCAUUUUAAAAAAAAAAAAAAAAAGAAAGGAUCUUUUGGGGAACAUUUCAAUUCUUAUAUACGAACAACUCUUAAUGGGUCAGAGCAGAGAGUACUAUUAUUGGCAUCAGUUAGAGGAGGAUAUACGACAUUAAUGGGCUUGACCUACUCACAGCCUGUCAUUUGAGGCUUAAUUUAAUGUCAGUUUUGCUUCUUUAUCCGACGUAUUAUUAUGAAAUCUAGUCAACGAACUUGUCACAAAUGAAUAUCUAUACAUAUAUUUGAGGUGGGAGGAAUACCCUAACAGUAACAGCCCAUGUGAUUUUAUCGUUAAUUUGGGCCCACUUUAAUGCGAUGUCUUCCCUUUGGUGGGUUCUGCUCUCAUCUCAUCAUAAUACCGAUAGCUGAAAAUGACACCUACCAAGGCCAUUUGAUUUCUCUUUUCGUUCCUCCUUUUCAAGCCAAAACCAAAAGUUUGAAAGAUAAAAGAAGGGAAAAUUGCAUAAAUCUCCCCUUGAGGUUUCUGAUACUAGCACUCAUCUCCCCUAUGGUUUAGAAAAUAGCACUUACCACCCCUGAACUUAAGGAUUGUGUUGCCAAUAUAGUCCAUGCCAGAAAAGUUACCGUUCAAAAAUUUUUUAAGGAGUGAGAUGAGCAAUUUAUAUCAGAUUUGCCUUUUAUAUUGCUUGUCAAGUUGUGUUAAUAGAGGAAUGACAAAAUACAAAAAACUAUUGAGGGUUAGUAAAUUCAAGGGGUGUAAGUGCAAUUGAAUGAGGUUUACCAACAAUACACGAAGCAACGGUAGAUACUAAUUAUUAGUUAAACGACUAUAUAUCCAGGUUCUUGUAGCAAAGUUUAUAAAGAAUACAUGUCGCUUUUAAAACUCUCUAUUAGUAAUGUGAAUAGCUAUUUGUGGGGGGCAACACAACUGUUUAUAUUGUCAACACCAAUUAUAUACAAAAAAAAAUUUAUCACUUAAACAUCACUAAAAGUUACUGAACAUGAGAUAAAUCUAGUUAGAAGUAAUUAGAAGUGCAUAUGAAUAAGAUAAAAUUGUCUUUAGUAAAUGAAAAAUGCAGUAAGUACGUUAGAAUCACGUACUAAAAUUGUUGUUGCUACUGAUAUUUUCAGAUUACAGAGUGAUAAUUGUAUUGAUGGAAAGAAAUGUAGCAAUUUGAGAAGUAGUAGUAGUAGGCUGAACUAGAGAAGAUUUUGAAAUAGAAAUGACUUGAGCAGGUAUAUUUGUGCAAGUUCUUUUUAUACUUAUUUUAAUAAAACCUUCAGAAUUACUUACUGGCCUUCCUUUCUACAAUUGUAUAAAAUUAUACUUAAAUUGAUUGGUUUGAAAAAUAUAAUAUGAAAAUAUGUACGGCGUUUUCUCCCCUUAGUUGGUACCAUUUCUUAGUAUUGCUUACAAUGAUUAAUGAUAGUAAAACUCACAAGUAAUCUAGUUCAAUUAGUCACUCAAUUUGCUGACAAAAUAUAAAUUUUCUUUUCUAAAAUUCGUUCUUUAAGUUUCUACAAUUAGGUAGGGUAUAAAAGUAAUAUCAUAUAAUUUAUCGUUAGUAAUGGGUCCAAUUUCCUCCUAGGGGAGGUUAGUGCAAUUUUAGAAAUUAUAGGGGAGGUGAUUGCUAGCGUCGGAAACCUCAGGGGAGGUUUCUGCAAUUAUCCCAUAAAAGAACAUGCAAACAAAAAAUAUAUAGUCCUAGUAGAAACUUUAUAUUUUAUAUCAGAAUUUUCAAUAUCAACUCUAAGGGGCAACUGCAGGUUUCAGGAUGACCAAGUUGCAGUCUUGAUUUCAGGCACCAAUAGUAGUAGUAGGGCCCUCGGGGGUUGAGAUUUACAGAUAAUCUUGUCACGACGGACAUUUCAUUUGCCACAUUUACCAUAUACUACCAUUUUAGCAUGGGAUUCAUACCUAAGAUUUACAAACAUAUCUACCUAAAUAGUAGCUAGCUAUGCAUUUUUUUCCCUCUCAAAAAACGAAGCCUAGGCUUGCAUAAUCGUAGUAUACCCGCUUAGUUAAGUGUUGUUGACCAAGUUGUCGCGCUAAUUGAAGUUGCAAUUUGUAUGGCUCAAAAUCCACAAAAUGCCUAUGGGCUAUACGAUGACUCCAGCAACGGGUCGCAUUGAAAAAGCACUGCUAGCUGAUGGCAAAUGCUGUUUCGGAGGAAGGAUCGAGAAAAGGACCCAAGUGCGACCCAACUGCGUCGAAGUUGAACCAUUCCCUGCUAAGGCUAUCUUCCACAACGUAAUGCUUUGGAUGGAGGAUUCCGUUUACUUUCCAGAUAUCACAAGCACGAUUAGAGAAACGGGGAUUUCUCACCUGCAAGCUGUAGUACCUGUUAGGAUUGCGAUUUUUCAAAAGUUUUAUAUCAAAAUAAUGUAAUAUAAUUAUUGGAUGCAUGUGAGAUAAAAAAAUAAUUAAAAAUAUAUUUAUAAAAAACAUAAAAAUUCUUUGUUAGAAAACUGCAAUUUAAGCAUAGUCUAAGUUUAUCAUUUUAUAAAUUAAUGCAAGAGUCCAUGCUACAACAGAAAAAACAUAUCUGCGUAAUUUUCCUUCUAGUGAUUUGGGAUAUGGUCAUGCUCCAUUGAAACUGUUGAGAUGCCUUGAAUCAGGUCUUCGACUUAUGGCGAUUCGACUAUGUUCUGUUUUUAUUUUGGAUCUAUUUUUGGGUCCAGUCCGUUUGAUUGUUUGGUUGUAUAUAUAUACACCUUAUAUUCAUUCUGUAAACAUUUCUCAUUCGUUCCAAACCCUAAUAAAAUCUGAUUUCCCCCAAAAUUGUUCUAGUGUUCUUGAUUGUUCUCUUGUUUUGUUGCAUCUGUUAUAACAGAAAUAAAGAAGAUUCGAACACUACUGAAUCUAGUUCCGCUUGUACUACAUCCAAUGAAUCACAGAUGUUGCUUGAAGUUCUUACUUGGAGGGCAUUCAAUAAUUGAGCCAAUUAAAUCCAAAUUGCAGUCUCGUCUUUCGUGAGAAACGAUGAUAUUGGGCACAUUGAUUGCGAGGAGUGAUGUUAAACAGAUAGAAGCGGGUGGCAAAAGAAAAGAAAAUCUCAAGAGAAAAAUCUACGAAACGUGCAUCAAGAGCGCAGAAAAUUUGGUUUGUGUGAGUAGAAGAAGAUUAAGAAGUGGCUGGCGGGCUUAAAAUCAAUUUAGACCUAAAACGAUGACAAUCAUUGCGAUUACCACUACUGGCACCUCAGGGACAAAAGGAAAGUACAACAAAAAUGCCAUUCGCAAAUCAUCGGCAUUGUGGUGGUCGAGUACAAAAUCUGGAAAGCAAUCGAAUGCACGAUGAAAGGAGAAUAUUGGAUUUUCCCAUUGUCGUCCUACAUUUUUUUCUUCAGAAUUGUUACUCACUUAAUGUUUGUCACUAUCGCUUUUGAGAUGAGAAUAGUUGGAAAGUUUUUGGUGAAAAUGCUAUAAUUGUACUUUUCUGCCCCCCCCCCCCCCAAACUUCACGUAGUGCUUUUCUGUUCUAUUCAUAGAUACGCUACAAACAUUUACGAACUGUUACCAUUUCUGGCGAUUUUGUUACUCCACCGAAAAAGUGACAGGAAUUUAUACAAAAAGAAAAGGUGACAUGAAGAUAUAUAUAUAUAUAUGUGUGUGUGUACAUGAAUCAGAAAUGCAGCAAGACAGAGUCAUCUAUGGAGCCUCCCUUGAAAAUCAGAGCCCGAAACGAUGAUACACUUUGAAAAUUGAAAUGGGGUGUCACGUCGAAUCGGCAUCAUUAAUGAUCUCGUGUUAGGCUAUUAACAUUAACAGGAGGACCGCACUAAGGCAGCUAAGAGCUCUCUGCCCAUGGCCGCUUUCCCAAUUCAUCUUACUACGUCGUAAUUGUUGAUAUUUAAAGAAAGAAAGAAAGAAGGCUGAGUCGAAAGGGUUCGUAAAUUCAAUGGAAUUAUACAACUCUUGAUAUGCCGUUAUUUGUGUCGUAUUACUAUUAUAAAUUCAUUGGUCUCAUCAGGGUCUCGCGACAAAAUACAUGCAACUACCACUGCCUUCUGAGCGCUGGCUUCAUCAAAAUCAUCGCCAAGAAUUCCACGUCUGCUGCUUUGUCCAUCCAUCCCGACCGGAGUGAAUGUGAACAGAGAGAUCCCUCCAAUUCUUUUCAAAAACCGAAAUGUAAACCGAUGGGGAGGUGUGACCUUGAAGGAAACAUAAUUAUUAUUUACACGCUCUGUUGAAUAUGAGCAAAUCUUCAGAUCCCAAUGAUAACCUAGAAUUAAUGACUUAAUUAAUGGAAAGGUGGUCGACCCAAUUAAGGGUUGAAUUUAGCCCCCCCCCCCCCCCCGCCCGGAACUUCCCCACAAAAAACAUAGCAUAAGCAUGAGCUACACGUACCUCAUCAUCGUAGGGGGACCUUGUUCGACUGAGUGAUUCAUGAUGAUUUUUAGCUUCUUAGCAUGGCCAACGUUCCAUCAGGAAAAUCUCAUAAUAGUAAGUAUGUUUUAGCUCCAAACGUGAUUGAGGCUUAUGCUGCGAAAUGUGCGAUCAGAUGACUGCUUGAGUUUGGGUUUACAUCCAAGUUAUUAUUUUUCACAAAAGAUUAUUAUUAGUAUUAUGAUGAGCCAAAGUCUAAAAUCUGAUGACUCGUUUUGUAGGCAGGAUGCUUGGUUGAUGGUGUCUAGCAUCUGCAACAAUUUUACUUCACAGUUACUGUGAAGCCGUGUGAUUGUGCAAACCAAGAUCACUUACCUUAUCAUGUAACUAACGUAUUGCUCUAGCUAGAUAUGCAUGUAAUGUCAUGGUAGAUGAUUGUUUAUGGAGGCAAUGCCCUCUUAUCUUUUGUUCACUAAUUUCCAUAUCUUUCUUUUCAAUCUUUCUAUCCAGAAAAAAAAAUUUUUUUUUUUUUAAAAAAAGGGCAACAUCACUGGUUGGUUGGAUAACCAACUGAACCAGUUAAUUAUGGAGUUAGACUGUCUCCGAAUUAGACCAGAAUUGAUGCAUUAACUAAUCUAACCGAAAUCAAUUAAUGGUAAACCAAAUGUGUGCGAGAUCGGUUGGUUAACUCGUCAAAUCAAAUUGGACCAAGUACUUUUUGGUGGUUCGUUUUCCUCAGCCGCUUCAUUUCCAGAGUACAGAGACUUGAUAGUGACCAAAAUCGCUGCUAGUAAUGGUAACAUAAAACAUGCUUCCACCGACGAUAAACAGAAGCUAUGGAAAUGGGAAUUGAUAUUCGGCCGCCCAUUUUAACCUCUUAUAUACUUCAAUUCACUCACUAAAUAAUAUGCCUCCAAAGAAUGCUAGAGGCUAAUUAGGAGCGCAAAUAUCACUUCCAAGGAGUGGUAGAGGCUAAUUGGGAGUGCAAAUAUCACUUCGCUUUCCAAAUGUUCAGCUGAAACAUACAUGUCUCAGCGACAUGAAAAUGAAAGAAGAAACAGGGGAGCCCAGAAACAGAAAAUAAUGGGUCUAGUUUCUCAGAAUGAAUCCAAAUGUAAACUGUUUAUGAUUAUACUACUAGUAUAACUGUGAAUCAAACACGGCUAAAUAUCCCCAAAAAAAAUGUAUAAUAAAAGAAGUAACAAGAGAGAAAUAAGAGUAAUAAUCAACAAAGCAGAAGCAGCAGCAGCAGCAACACCCAUAUUACUGGCUUCUGGCUUCUUGCCCCUGAUGAUUUGAUUAUGACGAUGACGAUGAUCUCUAUACAUACAUUUGAGAUGAUAAAAGAAAAACUUCCUUCUUCCUGCAAAUCUCUACUAACCUCUCUCCGCUUUCCUUCUCUGCCAAUUUUAUUUCACAAACUCCACUUCUCUUUUCUUUUUCUUUUUAUCAAUGAUCAAAUAAAUAUAGGGAGCGAGAACUUUACCUCUUACCUCUCCUCCGCCUCAUCCAAUCUCUCUUUUUCCCGGUCACCAUCUUCAUUGUCUAAUUCCUCAGCUUGACUAUAACACAAUUUAUAUCCUCUCAAUGCUAGAUUACACUUUCCCGGCACAGAAUGCUUCCGCUUUCUCAUCUCGGUGAUGAGCAUUUCAAGUAUAUGUGCGAGUUCCGAAGAUGGAUUGACAGAGAAGUGAAAGAAUGAAUAGUACAAAGCUAAUGCUUCAAUAUUUGUCCUCCUUAUUUUUUUUUCUUUUCCCUUUUUGAGUUUACGAGGAUUGGGUUAGAGGAAAGUUCUCAAAAGAAUCAAUAGAAGGGUGGUGGUGGGGGAGAUGCGUAUGACACCCCAAUUACUGGCGGCAAUGGCCCUUCGUAUACCGGAGCCGGAGGCGGUGGGCUCCCGUAAAUCACUGGCGGAGGCGGUGGUGGAUGUUCACAUGGAAUUGGGGGAGGCGGCGAGGGUGAUGGUGGCGGCGGAGAGUGGUAAUGAACUGGCGGGGGAGGUGAUGGUGAUGGGGGAGGUGGUGAGUUGUAGUGAACUGGGGGUGGAGGCGAUUGCGAUGGCGGCGGCGGCGGUGAAUUAUAGUAAGUUGGUGGUGAUGGUGGAGGUGGUGAAUUGUAUAUAAUCGGUGGUGGUGGGGGUGAUGGUGAUGGUGGUGGCUUAUAAAUAUAUGGUGGUGGUGGUGGUGAAGGUGAUGGCGGAGGUGGUGGUGGUUCUAUACAAGGCGGUGGUGAUGGUGGUGGAGGGGGUUCUAUACAAGGUGGUGGUGGUGGAGGGGGUUCUAUACAAGGUGGUGAUGGUGGUGGAGGUGAAUGAGGUGGAGGCGGGGAGUGUACAACUGGCGGUGGAGGCGGGGAGUGUACAACUGGUGGCGGGGGCGGCGAUGAGUAAAUGUACACUGGUGGUGGAGGUGGGGGUGAGUUUGGUGGCGGAGGUGGGGGUGAAUUAUAAUAGUAGGGGAUAGGUGGUGGAGAGUAUAGAGGAGGUGGUGGAGAAUUUGGUGGUGGAGGCGGCGGUGAGCGCACACAGUAUGGCGGAGUAGGCGAAGGAGGUGGAGGGGAAGGUGGAGGUGGUGAGAUAGCCGGAGGAGGUGGAGAUGGCGGUGGAGGAGAUGGAGGAGGGGGAGAAGGUGGAGGAGGAGAUGGAGGAGGUGGUGGCGGUGAGUAAAUUGGCGGAGGAGGUGAAGGCGGAGGAGGCGGAGGAGGAGGAGGAGGAGAAGGUGGAGGCGGUGAGGGGGGAGGAGGUGGCGGAGAAUAAACUGGCGGUGGAGGAGGAGGAGAGUAAACAGGUGGUGGUGGGGG
rnacentral:lncRNA from 1 species